UGGCUAUGUGAUCUAAUCAUGUCCAUUUAUUAAUGAGGUUCCUUAUAGCCACUUCAGGCAAUGUAGGAAAAUUGACUGUAGGAGCUUAUGGAGCAAUUUAAGGCCAAAUCCUGAUUGCUGAACAUAAUGAAGUAUGCUAACUGAUGCAUGGAGAUCUGUUGAUUACUUUAAACAACCUUAAAUGAAAGAAGACAAAUGACCCAUGUGGGUGGAAUUGAUGUAACUGGUCUAUGAAAAAAUACUUAUAAACCAAAAAAAAAUUUGCUAAAACUCUUCAAAAAACUCAACCAGUUUCUCUAUUUUUGUAUCGAGAUGGCUUUUUUUUUUUUUCUAAAUUUCUGCCACCAAACUAUUCUUUGCCACCCAGGUGCUUUGUGAUGCCACACUUUUCCCGUGCAGGGACAGGGUGCACAUGAGAAUGAGCUACACUGCAGGGCCAGCACACUGAAGCCUCAAGGAAUACCACGGCCCCGUGUGCUCCACCAAGCUUUGAGCUGGAGAGAGAUUUCGGCAGCCACAGAAUGCAGGUGAGCAUGGUGGCUGAAGGGAGGCCUCUUCUGCACUGUGAGCAAAGGAUACUGCUGGGUUUUUGGCACAAUGCACACUUCAGGACAAAGAU
rnacentral:lncRNA from 1 species